UUUUUUUUUUUUUUUUGAUCUUUGUUUCAGUGUUCCUUUCUCCAUAUUUUUUGGCCUGGAACCCAGAGUAGACAUCUUCUGCAUGUAUAACUAUCAUUUCUUAGUUUGGCAAUACUUCACUAAUUGGCCGUAUGACUAAAGUUGUCCUGUGCUAUAAUGUCCUUUAAGUUGGAUGAAACAUAGUAUCAGCAGUUGGAAUCACUAGAAAGCGUGAUUGGUUACCAUGGUAUAAGAAAGGUGGCUGUAAUGGGUGGUUGCUCAGGUACAGACCCAUUCCUGGUCCAUCUGAAUGCACUUGAAUAUGUUGGCUGAAACUCUUCCUUGAGAACAUCACUGAAGAGGCUACUGAUAGGCUCAUGCAUCCUGGCUGGAGAAGGCAAAGGACAUAAAAACAAGUCAACAACUGACCAGUGACACAUAAAGGGCACAAAGAUGUAGUUUACCAUGAAACACCUUAUUUUGUCGAAGGGAAGUUUUUGUGAUGGCAAAUAGCUACAGGAAAGGCAGGAGAAUAAAUUCUAGCCUAUAUAAUGAUUAAAUAAUUUGGGGGAAGGGUGUUCAUUUUUUAAACCUUGGAGUUAGAGCCAUCAAACUAAUGUUGCAUCAAAAUGUUUGAGGUCCAAGGAUUUUGUUCUGUUGUAUGGUGAUUGAAUGUCAAAAGCCAGGUAUAAAUGACGAGUAAAAGUGAUGAGCUGAAACCAUAACCUGCCCGUGGCAGAAACUUACUUUGUCCCUCCACCUCCAAAAUCUUUUUUUUUUUUUUUGUCUUUUUACCAUUUCUUGGGCCACUCCCACACCAUAUGGAGGUUCCCAGGCUAGGGGUCGAAUCGGAGCUACAGCUGCCCAGCCUAUACCACAGCCACAGCAACACAAGAUCCAAGCUGUGUCUGUGACCUACCCCACAGCUCUUGGCAACACCAGAUCCCCAAUCCGCUGAGCAAGGCCAGGGACCAAACCUGCAACCUCAUGGUUCCCAGUCAGAUUUGUUAACCACUGAGCCACGAGAAUCUUAGAAACUUUACAAUUUUUCGGGUGCCCAUGAGACCUGGCUGCUGUCUUGUCUAAAAAGGAACCGGAAUGGGUAAGCAUUUUCAAGCAGUUAUAUUUUUUAUGCAGUAUGGCUAUAGCAAUUCACAGUAUUAGGUUGUUAGAUUGUGUUUAUCUCAUACAGACUCCUUUCUCUUUUUCCUCCUCUUGGAUCUCACACUCUUAGGAGCUAAGAUCAGGCACAAAGAAGUCCAUUCCCUUCCAGUACUCCUGCUAGAGUCUUCUCGGGAUGUCUUGCUAACCCUUAUCUCCUGACACAUCAUCUCUUGAAAAUAGCCUUCUAGAUUUCUUUGGCCCUAAAGUUAAAACUUUCUUUUUCUUUUGAGAACCUUUGAAAAAUAUCCUCUGUCCCAAAUAAGAAUCUAAAGCCUGAAACCAGUACUCCUUAACCCAUCACAGGCCACCAUAGCUUUAUACCCUGGAUAACUUCGUAUGAUUUAGCGUUCCCUUCAUUACAAAGGAAAGUGUAAAUUAAGUAUAUAGAAAUAAUAUUUGCAUUGAUUGAGCAACCAUUGAAUGCCACAUCCUAUAUUAUACCCUUAAUAUUCAUUCUGUGGUCUUCACAAUAACCCAAUGAAGUAAGUUCCAUAUUCAGCUUUUAUAGAUAAGGAAUUAUAGCUUAAGUUGAAAUUCUCAAAGCUGAAAAGUUAGGGAGAUGUAGGGUUAGAAACUGAACUCCUAUCUUUCUGAUUCUGUAUAUUCAUGACUUCUGCCUCCAGUUAUAUUGCCCACUAGAGAUUUUUCUAAGGAUGAAAUUUAAAUAUUACUGUACUAUUGAUACUCACCAACAGAUUAAUGGUUUUACCUGUUUCUUCCUGCACAUACUCAGUAGUCAUCCAAGCAUGAGUUCUUAACCCCUUAAUAAUUUUAUAUAUCAUUAGAUGCAUGCUAGGUAGUUUACUUAUGUUAUUUUUCUCUAAUCCUAAUAAUAAUCCUGGUUUACUAGUUUGUUAGUUUGUUUGUUUUUCCCUUGUGCCUUGUAGGUUAAAGCGCUUCCCUUCAUUCUGGUGUAUGACUUCUUGUCAAAUGUGUUAGGAAUGGGCGAGGUUGUGCUGAGGUAACAGAAGACCCCACCUCAUUGGUUUCACACCUCAAAGGCUCAUUUCUUCUUCUCACCAUGUGUCCAUUGCAGGUUGGAGGACUCUACCCCAAAGGGACCUGGGCUGUCAGAGCAGCAUCUAUGGGGACGUUGCUGAUCUUGGCAUAGGAGAAAGACGUCAGUGUGGAAGACAGGAUAGCCAUAAAGCUACCCUCUGCAACUGACAGAAGUCACUUGUGUUCAUUCUAUUAACCAUGUCAAUUCCUAUGGCCAAGUCUGAUGUCAGUGAGGCAAGAAAAUAGUCUUCUCUCAGAGAGGAGCAGUGAAUAUUUGGAAUAGCUUAACACUGUCUAUGAAAUUACAUAUGAAAUCUCAUCAUAUCUCAACACUAUGGUCUAUCGAGUCUUUUUAGUGGGUAAUUCAAACCUUCAGAGAGAUUAGAAAGGAUAGGUGGCAAGAAGAAGGGAACUAAGCUGCAAGGAAUUUUCUCAAGGGCUACUUGAGCGGCUUCUAUAAGAAUGACCUCCAGGAUUUUUGUCCUUUCACAAAUAGGUUUCUUCUCAUUUAUUGCUUUUGCUAAAAUGAAUUUUAGGCAUUAUCAAAAGGGAAUUUAUACAUGGUACUAUUGCCUUUUUGAAUUUAGAAUAUAUAUUUAGAAUUUGGAAUCGCUUUCUCUGGUGUCAGUUCUGCAGCUGAUUUUUUUUAAUGUGUUAUGUGAGCAAAUGUAGAUUGUAACUAUAAACACAGUGCAAGGAAGAAGCAGACCCAUCUGUCUCUUUCAAACUUGAUUAGGGAAGGGUGUGCAGAUGAUAUUUUUAGUAUGGUCUUAAAAUUAAGGUUAAGUUGCUUUGAAGCAAGUUGACUACCAGAGAUUUAUUCAUUUUGAGGGUUAAGAUAAAACAAAUAGAAAAUAUAUACACAUUCCCAAAGACACAUUAUGUUGCUCCUUUAAAACCACAUUUAUUUUUUGAUUGCAUGGGAAAUAACAUUUGCAAGCAUAGAGAGCUUUCCUCCUCUGACUUUGGUGAUAGAAAUUUUGAAAUGGCAAACAAUUUUAUUACCUGUAGUUAAUACUAUUGGCAAGAAUUGAACAUGCUAGCAGGGAAAAGUCUAUAUACUACCAUGCACUUAUAAAUGAAAAAAAAAUUAUAAUACAGUAAUAUAAACAUCAUAGAUAAAAUUCAAUAAUGAAUGUAAGAAAAAAAGUGGUUUUUCCAGUUGUUCUAGAUCAAAUUUUAAUAGUUUAUCUGAAAGACUUCUCUAUCAAGUCACCAUCUUAUUAAAUUAAGUGACCCCCCCCAAAAAAACAAAUACAAGACUAACUUUAUUUUUUCCUCUUCUUCCAUUACCAUGGGAAACAGAAAAAUGCCAAACAAUCAGAUAAAUAGUCAGAUGCUCGGUUUAUUGAGAAAAACACUGGGAAGGGCCAUUAGUGGCUCUGAUGAGGAAAAAUUUUAAAAGAAAAGAGAGCUGAGGAAAGGUUCAUUUGUACCGUAUAUUAGAUUCCAGAUAUAAGUGAUAUCAUAUGCUAUUUGUCUUUCUCUUUCUUACUUACUUCACUUAGUAUGAGAGGACUAGGAAUUUGACCUAGAUGCAAACUAUUGCCUUUGGAGUGGAUAAACAAUGAGAUCCUGCUGUAUAGCACUGGGAACUAUAUCUAGUCACCUAUGGUGGAGUAUAAUAAUGUGAGAGAAAGAAUGUAUAUAUGUAUGUGUGACUAGGUCACCUUGCUAUACAGUAGAAUAUUGACAGAACACUGUAAACCAGCUAUAAUGGAAAAAAAUAAAAAUAAUUUUUAAAAAAGAUUAGAGCACAUAAAUAUAACAUUUAAAAUACUGAAAAAAAGAGCGAAAAAAUCGAGGUGGCAGUGGAUUUAUGAAACAACAAAUAGUUUUUGAUGUAGAGAGAGCAAUAAAGCCAAAGGUUAGGAUAUUUCAGUUACUGCACAACAUAUUUUACAUUUUUAAUUCCCCCUCCCCAUUCUCCUGGAUGGGAAUGGUGGGUUCCAUGUGAGAAUAAAAAGAAGAGGCUAAUAGCAAGCAGUUGGCUAACUUGCCCAAAGUUUCAGUUAGAAUAUCAAUAGAGCCAAAGUUAAUUAAACCCAUUCAUCUGUUUUCUCUUUCAACAAAUAUUUAUUGAGUGUUUUCUAGGCACUGUUCUAAGUGAUGAGAAUACUACAAUGAAUAAGAGAAGAACCCUCCUGUCCUAUGGGGCUGAUAGUCAUGGUUUCCUGUUUUGUUUUGGGAAUGAUACAUUUUUGGGGAAUUAAAUAUUAUAUGCCCCCCGAUACAUAAAGCAGAUAAAAAUAAAGCUGCUCUGUUUAAGGUGAGGAUAAGGAGCUGGAAAUUCUUCCCAAUCAACACUUCCCUUGCCUCCUUUUUCAUUUCACAGAUACCUACUUAGAAAGUCCCUACACCCUGAUCUUGCUAGCAGAACAGGAGAGACCAGUGUGGGAAAGGCAGGUGGGUCCAGAUGGUGAGGAAGUAUGAAAGAACAGGUUUAUGAUGUAAUUGAAUUAGUAUUGGAAUGAGGUUAUCAGAGACUGGUGAGCAGGAGAAAUUUGAAGGAAACAACAGAAGGCCAGAAAACCUCAUAGGACACUAUCUCAGUAGUCUGCCUGAACUAGUGGAGAGAGUAGUGGACACUGGGUAGAUUCAGAAGGAUUCAGAAGAUGUAAUGGGUCAGCAUUACAACUGAUAUCAUGCAUUAGAGAGACAUCCUAUGUUUGAGGGCAGAAUAUGAGUUUGGAAUCAGAGAAUCCAGGUACAUAGCCUGGCCUUCGUGCUUACUUUGUAACUUUGGUCAAAUUCCUAAUUCGGCCUGAGCCUCGGUCUCCUCAUCUGAAGAAUGGGUAUAAUAAAACCUAUUUGGGAGAAUUAAAGACAAGGCAUGUGAAGUCCCAAGAAUAAUGCAGUCAUCUACAAAGUACCAUCCCAUCACCACCAGUUGUUCUAAGAUUUUCUAGGGAAUGUCUCAUGAAUACUCAAGAAAAAGUUCUAUUAUUUUUUACUAUUAUCAGUACCACCAUUUCUUCCUCUCUAGUAAGAGUAGAUGCAGUGAAGAACUGAUUAAAGUUGGUGUACCAUCUAUUAUUAUGAAAAACAGUGAGAGAGAUAGAAUCUAAAUCUGAUUUGGCUAAUGGUAGAGCCAUGGCCAAAAAGUAAUCCGGGACUUACAGACAUACUUACGUAUAUGAAAGAAUUGAAGUAUGUUUAUUGCAGUUUUGUUUGAGGUAGCAAAAGACUCGGAAAAACUUAAAUGUCCAUCAACAAGAACUGAUGAAAUAAAUAAAAGUGUACCUAUACAAUGGAACACUAUC
rnacentral:lncRNA from 1 species